GAACGAAAUCUUUCGGGAUUUAGUGGCGGACGGGUGAGUAACGCGUGAGAAUCUGGCUUCAGGUCUGGGACAACCACUGGAAACGGUGGCUAAUACCGGAUGUGCCGAGAGGUGAAAGGUUAACUGCCUGAAGAUGAGCUCGCGUCUGAUUAGCUAGUUGGUAGAGUAAAAGCCUACCAAGGCGACGAUCAGUAGCUGGUCUGAGAGGACGAUCAGCCACACUGGGACUGAGACACGGCCCAGACUCCUACGGGAGGCAGCAGUGGGGAAUUUUCCGCAAUGGGCGAAAGCCUGACGGAGCAAUACCGCGUGAGGGAGGAAGGCUCUUGGGUCGUAAACCUCUUUUCUCAGGGAAGAACACAAUGACGGUACCUGAGGAAUAAGCAUCGGCUAACUCCGUGCCAGCAGCCGCGGUAAUACGGAGGAUGCAAGCGUUAUCCGGAAUGAUUGGGCGUAAAGCGUCCGCAGGUGGCAAUGUAAGUCUGCUGUUAAAGAGUCUAGCUCAACUAGAUAAGAGCAGUGGAAACUACAUAGCUAGAGUACGUUCGGGGCAGAGGGAAUUCCUGGUGUAGCGGUGAAAUGCGUAGAGAUCAGGAAGAACACCAGUGGCGAAGGCGCUCUGCUAGGCCGUAACUGACACUGAGGGACGAAAGCUAGGGGAGCGAAUGGGAUUAGAUACCCCAGUAGUCCUAGCCGUAAACGAUGGAUACUAGGCGUGGCUUGUAUCGACCCGAGCCGUGCCGUAGCUAACGCGUUAAGUAUCCCGCCUGGGGAGUACGCCGGCAACGGUGAAACUCAAAGGAAUUGACGGGGGCCC
rnacentral:rRNA from 1 species